rnacentral:rRNA from 1 species
UCAGGAUGAACGCUGGCGGCGCGCCUAACACAUGGCAAGUCGAACGGCGAAGUCCCUCGGGGGCGGAACAGUGGCGGACGGGUGAGUAACGCGUGAGUAACCCUGCCCUUACGAGCGGAAUAGCGUCGGGAAACUGACGGUAAUACCGCAUGAAGCUUGACCCCGGCAUCGGGGAGAAGCCAAAGAUUUAUCGCGUAAGGAUGGACUCGCGUCCCAUUAGAUAGUUGGCGGGGCAACGGCCCACCAAGUCAGCGAUGGGUAGCCGGACUGAGAGGUUGAACGGCCACAUUGGAACUGAGAGACGGUCCAGACUCCUACGGGAGGCAGCAGUGGGGAAUAUUGGGCAAUGGGCGAAAGCCUGACCCAGCCGACGCCGCGUGAGCGAAGAAAGGUCUUCGGAUUGUAAAGCUCUGUGUACAGGGACGAAGAAUUGACGGUACCUGUAUAGAAAGCCACGGCUAACUACGUGCCAGCAGCCGC